CAGUCGCCGCGGUAAUACGGAGGGUGCAAGCGUUAAUCGGAAUUACUGGGCGUAAAGCGUGCGUAGGUGGUGGUUUAAGUCCGUUGUGAAAGCCCUGGGCUCAACCUGGGAAUUGCAGUGGAUACUGGGUCACUAGAGUGUGGUAGAGGAUAGUGGAACUUCCGGUGUAGCAGUGAAAUGCGUAGAGAUCGGAAGGAACAUCUGUGGCGAAGGCGACUAUCUGGGCCAACACUGACACUGAGGCACGAAAGCGUGGGGAGCAAACAGGAUUAGAUACCCGAGUAUCCCUGUCUCUUAUACA
rnacentral:rRNA from 1 species